UACGUAGGGGGCUAGCGUUGUCCGGAAUCAUUGGGCGUAAAGCGCGUGUAGGCGGUCCGGUAAGUCCGCUGUGAAAACUCGAGGCUCAACCUCGAGACGCCGGUUGAAACCAUCUGGCUAGAGUCCGGAAGAGGAGAGUGGAAUUCCUGGUGUAGCGGUGAAAUGCGCAGAUAUCAGGAAGAACACCCGUGGCUAAGGCGGCUCUCUAGUACGGUACUGACGCUGAGACGCGAAAGCGUGGGGAGCGAACAGG
rnacentral:rRNA from 1 species